UACGAAGGGGGCUAGCGUUGCUCGGAAUCACUGGGCGUAAAGGGUGCGUAGGCGGGUCUUUAAGUCAGGGGUGAAAUCCUGGAGCUCAACUCCAGAACUGCCUUGAUACUGAAGAUCUUGAGUUCGGGAGAGUGAGUGGAACUGCGAGUGUAGAGGUGAAAUUCGUAGAUAUUCGCAAGAACACCAGUGGCGAAGGCGGCUCACUGGCCCGAUACUGACGCUGAGGCACGAAAGCGUGGGGAGCAAACGGG
rnacentral:rRNA from 1 species